GUUAAACAGAACCAUAAAAGUUUUUCAUUACUGUCUUGUCAUAUAAUAGACUUCAAUUGGUUAUAGUGAAGUUGCAUAAAUGUUGUGUUCAUCCAGUUCAAGCCUGCAAAUGGACAAGAAAAUAAAUUAUUAUACAGCAAAAUGUAAAAUAGUACAGCAAAAAAUACAAACUAAAAUACAAAUUCUGCAAAAUUUUCAAUAAGCAACAUGCCAUGAUUAACUUUCCAUUCACUACGCAAACAACAUAUUGAAUAAUGAUCCAUGGUGGCAGAAGCCAUGCUUGUUGGAGAUAGAUUAGCAUUCCAACAUAUAUGCACGACACAAAUAGCAAAAGUGCAAUGGAAGGAAAAAGAAUUAAAUAAAAAAAAAUGUAGGGGCACAAUUAAUGUAAAAAAACAUA
rnacentral:misc_RNA from 1 species